GUAUUUUUCUGCAAGAGCGUUCACCACCGUUUGUUCUUCGGUGAAUGCAGACUUUGGUCGCGUGCGGAGACGUAAGACUGAUCGAACUAGGCGUAGUUGGUCUGAUCGAGAGGAGAAGAUACUGGUUGUCCCGCUGAAGGAUCUGUCAACACAUGAGUGGAAAGCCGACAACGGCUGGAUACCUUGGUAAGCUCGAGGAAGCUCGAGGAAGCCGACAGUUGGCGUUGUCCCAACUCUGAUAUCAGAGCGAAUCCCCACAUUGUGUCCAAGAUAACUGCCUGGAAAAAAGCUUACAACUCGCUGCAAGGUAUACUAUCGCGUUCUGAAGUUGGAUACAACACAGAUGUGGACUAUAAAAUAGAUGCCACAGAGGAGCAGUGGUCCCAGAUUGUGAGGGUGGAUCUCGAGGCCUGGUUCAUGCGCAACAAAGCUUGGCCCUACUGGCCGCAUUUGCAAGUUAUAUUUGGGAAAGACCGCGCAAACGGAGUGGUUGCUGAGGAUCUCAAAAGAGGCGGAGAUUGAAUAUGAUGGAGGUUCAAGUGUAACUUGGAGGACAUAUCUGCAUCUAGAUAUAGUUAUGGCACUGAGGAGCAAGUUGCAGACAACACUUCACUCAGCCACGGAGGUGGUAUCCCUACUGGUAGACCUGCCCAAGGUUUACCGAACCGGCGGUUAAAAUCGAAACCGUAAGCACCGGUUACGGUUCCGAACCAAAACCGUGAAAAUUUACUCGAACCGAAACCGUCGAUUUUUGAAUCGUGGUUCGAUUCAGGUUCAAAAUUUUUUUACCCGAAACCAUGUCGGAACCGCCGGUUCCGGGCGGUUUCAAACCUAAACCGCAAAAAAUGGCCGGAAAACCGUGAAAUUAAGCCAGAACCGCAAAAAACUGGCGGUUUGAAACCGUGAAAAACCGUAAAAAAACCACCGAA